AGAGCUUUAGUUUAAUUAAAAUAACUAAGUUGCAAUUAGUAAAUGUAGUGAAUCUGCAAGCUCUGG
rnacentral:tRNA from 1 species